GUAGGUGAACCUGCGGAGAGAUCAUUA
rnacentral:rRNA from 1 species